rnacentral:rRNA from 1 species
UACGUAGGGUGCGAGCGUUGUCCGGAAUUAUUGGGCGUAAAGAGCUCGUAGGUGGCCAACUAAGUCAGACGUGAAAUCCCUCGGCUUAACCGGGGAACUGCGUCUGAUACUGGAUGGCUUGAGAUUGGGAGAGGGAUGCGGAAUUCCAGGUGUAGCGGUGAAAUGCGUAGAUAUCUGGAGGAACACCGGUGGCGAAGGCGGCAUCCUGGACCAACACUGACACUGAGGAGCGAAAGCCAGGGGAGCAAACGGG